UGGUGGCGAGUGGCGAACGGGUGAGUAAUGCAUCGGAACGUACCAGUCGUGGGGAUAACGCAGCGAAAGUUGUGCUAAUACCGCAUACGACCCGAGGGUGAAAGCGGGGGACCGUAAGGCCUCGCGCGAUUGGAGCGGCCGAUGUCUGAUUAGCUAGUUGGUGGGGUAAAGGCCCACCAAGGCGACGAUCAGUAGCGGGUCUGAGAGGAUGAUCCGCCACACUGGGACUGAGACACGGCCCAGACUCCUACGGGAGGCAGCAGUGGGGAAUUUUGGACAAUGGGGGCAACCCUGAUCCAGCCAUGCCGCGUGCGGGAAGAAGGCCUUCGGGUUGUAAACCGCUUUCGGACGGAAAGAAAUCGCAUGGACUAAUACUCUGUGUGGAUGACGGUACCGUAAGAAGAAGCACCGGCUAACUACCGUGCCAGCUAGCCGCGGUAAUACGUAGGGUGCGUAGCGUUAAUCGGAAUUACUGGCGUAA
rnacentral:rRNA from 1 species